rnacentral:rRNA from 1 species
GUCCACGCCCUAAACGAUGUCAACUAGCUGUUGGGGGCUUCGGCCCUUAGUAGCGCAGCUAACGCGUGAAGUUGACCGCCUGGGGAGUACGGUCGCAAGAUUAAAACUCAAAGGAAUUGACGGGGACCCGCACAAGCGGUGGAUGAUGUGGAUUAAUUCGAUGCAACGCGAAAAACCUUACCUACCCUUGACAUGUCUGGAAUCCCGAAGAGAUUUGGGAGUGCUCGCAAGAGAACCGGAACACAGGUGCUGCAUGGCCGUCGU